GUGGUGUUUGGUUUGUUACGUGUGGUUGGCUGCGGCGUUUGCAACAACUUCCAUGCUUUCAGACCUCUUCAGUUGUGCGGCAAGGCUUGUAUCGCCUUGAGCGUAUUGUGGGUUUUCUGUGUUGACUACCUAAUCAAUGGUAUCUGUUGGAUUGAUCAAUGUUUCAUUUCGUCUAUCGUUGCAUUUGCGGCGUGAGAUGAACCUUGAUGCGGUCUCUUUGAUCCACCUCGUUGAAGCACAUGCUUUGACGUUGUGGCACAUUGAGCAUUGCUUGGUCUCUUGUAUACGGAACAUAUAGUGGGCAUGGAUCUAACGAUUCUUGUUUGCCCUCAUAUUAGCGUAACGCUUCUCUUACACGACUUGCUCCACGUUUUAGCUCGUACGGACGUGGUGCUAUGUCGAAGAGGAAUGCUACCUGGUUGAUCCUGCCAGUAGUCAUAUGCUUGUCUCAAAGAUUAAGCCAU
rnacentral:misc_RNA from 1 species